rnacentral:rRNA from 1 species
UACGAAGGGGGCUGGCGUUGUUCGGAUUUACUGGGCGUAAAGCGCGCGUAGGCGGAUCGUUAAGUCGGGGGUGAAAUCCUGGAGCUCAACUCCAGAACUGCCUUCGAUACUGGCGAUCUUGAGUCCGGAAGAGGUGAGUGGAACUCCUAGUGUAGAGGUGGAAUUCGUAGAUAUUAGGAAGAACACCAGUGGCGAAGGCGGCUCACUGGUCCGGUACUGACGCUGAGGUGCGAAAGCGUGGGGAGCAAACAGG